rnacentral:rRNA from 1 species
UACGUAGGGUGCGAGCGUUGUCCGGAUUUAUUGGGCGUAAAGGGCUCGUAGGCGGCGUGUCGCGUCGGGAGUGAAAGACCGGGGCUUAACCCCGGUUCUGCUUCCGGUACGGGCAUGCUGGAGUGUGGCAGGGGAGACCGGAAUUCCUGGUGUAGCGGUGGAAUGCGCAGAUAUCAGGAGGAACACCGGUGGCGAAGGCGGGUCUCUGGGCCAUUACUGACGCUGAGGAGCGAAAGCGUGGGGAGCGAACAGG